rnacentral:rRNA from 1 species
AUUGAACGCUGGCGGCAUGCUUUACACAUGCAAGUCGAACGGUAACAGGGUGCUUGCACCGCUGACGAGUGGCGAACGGGUGAGUAAUGCGUCGGAACGUGCCGAGUAGUGGGGGAUAACGCAGCGGAAGUCGUGCUAAUACCGCAUACGUACUGAGGUAGAAAGUGGGGGACCUUCGGGCCUCACGCUAUUCGAGCGGCCGACGUCUGAUUAGCUAGUAGGUGAGGUAAAGGCUCACCUAGGCGACGAUCAGUAGCGGGUCUGAGAGGAUGAUCCGCCACACUGGGACUGAGACACGGCCCAGACUCCUACGGGAGGCAGCAGUGGGGAAUUUUGGACAAUGGGCGAAAGCCUGAUCCAGCCAUGCCGCGUGUCUGAAGAAGGCCUUCGGGUUGUAAAGGACUUUUGUCGGGGAGGAAAUCCCCAGCGUUAAUACCGCUGGGGGAUGACAGUACCUGAAGAAUAAGCACCGGCUAACUACGUGCCAGCCGCCGCCGUAAGAC